UUGACAGGCUGGCGCUGCAGGUAUCGAGUGCCGAGGCAAUUAUUUCCAAGGGGAAGAGGGUAGCUGACGAGGACUUGCUGAGUCUAACCGAGCAAUUAAUGACGCAAAUGAUCAAAUUAGACGGCAUCACCGCAGAUGUGGACCUAAAGCUACAGAGAGGAUUGCAGGCGAGAAGAAUACGGAAGUACGUCGAAAAACUCGACGUGCUUAAGAUCAAAAACGCGAAGACCACGACGACGUCUAGAUCUUCGCAGCGACAGGAUCCGCAUCUGAAAACCCAACAGCAGCAGAAAUCGCAAGCGCCGCCUAUCGUGGUUACGACGGAGUGGGAGAUGUUUGAUUCCUUGGCCUCUACGUCCACAUCCAACUCUACAAGGCCAAAUUGGGACUUACUUUAAUUCGAGUAAAUAGUCAAUGUGUUAUCUAUAGAAUUUUAUUAAUUAGACAUCACGUUUGCUUGAGAGAGAGAGAGAGAGAGAGAGAGAGAGAGAGAGAGAUGGAGUUUUCUUUUGUUAUUUUUUUAUGCGUGAAGAUUUACCUAAAUUAGACCGAGGAAGGGGGGAAACGGAUAUGAUGACUC